UGUUUCAAACAUUUUCAGAGUGCGUCAACACAAGUCCAUCUCUAUGGGGCAAAGAGCAGGAGGUCAUUUCACGGCCUUCAAGGGGUGGAUGAAAUCUUGAAAGUCAUAAUCAACACCAACAGGACACGCUUAGUCUGCAGCAGCCCAUUUCUAUGCAUGCCUCCCAUCCCAUACUUCAAUAACAAAAGAAAGACACCUGUUUCACUUCUCGGUUUAUUAAAAACGGAUACCAUAAACAAGACCUGUACAAAAAGAAUCCAAAGUCACCCAGAAUUUGCUAACAGUGGCAUGGGAGAAGUUAUCGUCUUGGGCCUCCUCUUCCUCUGCCGCGGCCCCGGCCUCUUCCACGGCCUCGGCCACGGCCUCUUCCAGCAACUGCUUCUCUUUUCUUGGACUUGACUUUUGGUUCAACAUCCACUAGCAAGGUGUCCAGGGGCAAACUGUCUGGCAGAAUGAAGUAUCGGAUGUUAUUCCCCCGAAUGCUCAGUGUCUCCAGCUGUACAGGCUCCCUGUUCUUCAGCGUCAUUUUCACAGCCUUGAGAUGAGUAUUCAUACUGACAUCCACUCCUGUGAUGGUGCCGUGCACCUGCGUCCCAUUCUUCAGCUCAAUGGUCACAGUCUCGUGACUCAGCUUCAUCAGAAACCUGACGAGCUUCAUAGCGCCGGCGGGACGGCGCGGCGGCCGCGGGGCCUUCGACGGGCAGCGGCGGCCGCCCCUGGGGGCACGGGGAGCCCUCGGCGGGAGCGCCGCGAGCGCGGGCGGAGAGGAACGGGGCCUCCAAGGAGCGGGCCGCGCCUCAGCAGCUCUAGCGGCCGCCGCCGGCUGCGAUCAAUGGGCGGAAGCGGCGCGGCGGAAGGGGCGGGCCGCAGCGCGCCUGCGCGGGGCUGAGGGCGGGCGGGCACUGAGAGGCUGCGCUGCCGCCAUUUUGGAAUUAUGAGGUGAAGCUGGAGGAGGGAAGCGGACUCGAGAUUAUACCUAUCUGAGCACGUUAACAAAGUAGUUGUGCACAAGUAGUCUAGAGCGCACCAGCGAUGCUUCCAUGUUAAGUAGUUGAUAAGAACCUCACACACAAAACGCAGCUGCCAGGAUCUAGAAAAAUCAGACUUUUUAUUGUCAUUGAUGAGUACACCGUUGUGAUUUCAGCAAUACAGACUCUUUGCAAAGCACUGAGCUCUGGCUGCCCUCCAGCUUUGAGAACCCACAUUAACUUGUGUCUCUCCCUCCAUUCAUACACACACGCCCCAGCUUGUCUUUACCACAACAAAUCGGUUAUUUUGUGUUUUGUUUUAAGCAAGCUGCAAAGAUUCAGUUCUAGACUGCAAGAUAAGGGAGUUUCAGAGUGCAGCUGCCCCAGAGCCAUAAGAACUAUUACAUACUGAGUCUAUGGUGUUCCUGUACUUUGUGUCCAUGACAGAGGUGACAUUGGAAAAUGAAGUCAGAGAGGAUUCCAGUUAACAAUCAACUGGUAUUCCCAGCACAGCAUCUAGAAGCAGACAGAGGCAUGGUGAGUACUGGUGUUUAUGCACAGGUUAUGCUCACACAGAACCAGAGGCCUCCAGCAACAUUCAAGGUUAAAAUGAACAGAUAACAACUGCAAAAGUCUGUACACAGUUUCAGUCAUAACACAGUGAAACACUGGAGUAUCAGUGCUUUAUGUUCUAACCUCAGUAACGACAACCGUGCUAGCUUUAAGAUUCUACAUGUUUCUCCCCUCCCCAUUUACAUUUUAUAACUGCAAUCUGAAUAUACAGCUGUACUUACAGGAAAUAUUAAACAAUGCGUAGCGCCUUAAGCAAGUUUCAUGGCUGGUUUUGAACAAACCAUAUAAAAUAAGUGACAAAAUAGUUUAAAAUUGGUCCUUGAGUAGGAUUACUUAUUUUUAUACAGCUUGGAAGCACUAAAUUUAAAGACACACAUUUAUUGUUAACCAGCACGUUAUUUUGUAGCUUUUUUAAAAACUUUUUUCCUUUAAAGUGUGUUACAUCAUCAUGCGUGAAAAGCAAGAAGCUGCUCCCAAGAGCAACAUGGCAUUAGGGUGACACUUCCUCCUCUGAUUCAUACUCAUUUUUUUGUAAAUUAUUCCAACAACAACAAGAGGCAGCUGACUAGCAAAACAAAACCAAGUUCACCUUUUGCAAUGCGACCAUUCUUAAAGUGAUGGAGUACUUUGGGCCUUUAGCAUAAGGAGGGUUUGAUAAACCCUGCAAGGAGUUUUACAUUCUUUGAUUUCAUUUACAUCCAUAGAAGGAAAAGAAAAAAAAAACCCUGUAUUUUCAUGAGCUAACUAAUGAAUCAUCAUCUGGAGACUGCAGUACUGAAACAGUGCAAGACGUUUGCAACUUCAGGAGCAUCCAAUUACAACUCUUACCCAAACAAUGAUUAGUAGAAUAUUGCAUCAGUCCUAGACAACACAGGACAAAAAGGUCAUUCUGGAGGAGCACCAGGAUUCAAAAAAUCCUGUAUAUUUGGUGAAAAAACCCCACACAAAUAUGUGUGAAGGACUUGGACUUUACCACAGCAAAAGUAAUCCAGUUGCGAGCCUUGGAACAAGACUUUCUGUUGUUAUGAUGCCUUAUUUGUUCAGAGAACACAAUUAGAAACUCUUAUUACUGCUUUAACAUCCAGGUGUUUUGACACACGAACAGCAGAGCUCUCUCCUGCCAAACCGAAGUUCAGCCAGAACUGCUCACGUGGACAAUAAGCUUAAGCCAUCCACUUUACAUUCUACAGCAUUCCAGAAACCAAAAAGCUGCCCUUAAUCAUUGAAUUCUCAGUGAAUUGGGUGGAGGUCCCUCACUAAUGCAAUAUUCCAAAGACCAUUACAACUGAGACUGUU
rnacentral:lncRNA from 1 species